rnacentral:rRNA from 1 species
ACGUACACUCCUGCGGGAGGCAGCAGUGGGGAAUAUUGGACAAUGGGCGCAAGCCUGAUCCAGCCAUGCCGCGUGAGUGAUGAAGGCCCUAGGGUUGUAAAGCUCUUUCACCGGUGAAGAUAAUGACGGUAACCGGAGAAGAAGCCCCGGCUAACUUCGUGCCAGCAGCCGCGGUAAUACGAAGGGGGCUAGCGUUGUUCGGAUUUACUGGGCGUAAAGCGCACGUAGGCGGACUAUUAAGUCAGGGGUGAAAUCCCGGGGCUCAACCCCGGAACUGCCUUUGAUACUGGUAGUCUUGAGUUCGAGAGAGGUGAGGGGAAUUCCGAGUGUAGAGGUGAAAUUCGUAGAUAUUCGGAGGAACACCAGUGGCGAAGGCGGCUCACUGGCUCGAUACUGACGCUGAGGUGCGAAAGCGUGGGGAGCAAACAGGAUUAGAAACUAGUAGUCCC